UGAAAGUGGAAGGUUCCCGAAAAGC
rnacentral:piRNA from 1 species